AGUGAACGCUGGCGGUAGGCCUAACACAUGCAAGUCGAACGAGUGGCGGACGGGUGAGGAAUACAUCGGAAACUACUCUGUCAUGGGGGAUCACGUGGGGAAACUUACGCUCAUACCGCAUACGAUUGAAUUAGCCGAUGUCGGAUUAGCGAGUUGGCGGGGUAAAGGCCAACCAAGGCGACGAUCCGGAGCUGGUCUGAGAGGCUGAGCAGCCACACUGGAACUGAGAAACGGUCCAGACUCCUACGGAAGGCAGCAGUGGGGAAGAUUGGACAAUGGGCGCAAGCCUGAGCCAGCCAUACCGCGUGGGUGAAGAAGGCCUUCGGGUUGUAAAGCCCUUUUGUUGGGAAAGCGGUACCCAAAGAAUAAGCACCGGCUAACUUCGUGCCAGCAGCCGCGGUAAUAC
rnacentral:rRNA from 1 species